rnacentral:pre_miRNA from 1 species
CAAAAACACGGACUUUAGCUGAGAUACACAGGACUGCGCUUGUCCUGUGUACCUCAGCUAAAGUCCGUGUUUUUGU